AUUGCACGACGGCGGCAGGCCUAACAAAUGGAAGUCGAGCGGAGAGGCGGACGGGCGAGGAUUGCCUAGGAAUCUGCCGGGUAGCGGGGGAUAACGUCCGGAAACGGGCGCUAAUACCGCAUACUAUCAGACGAGGCGAGGUCGGCUUAACUAGUUGGUGGGGGAAAGGCCUACCAAGGCGACGAUCCGUAACUGGUCUGAGAGGAUGUGCAGUCACACUGGAACUGAGACACGGUCCAGACUCCUACGGGAGGCAGCAGUGGGGAAUAUUGGACAAUGGGCGAAAGCCUGAUCCAGCCAUGCCGCGUGUGUGAAGAAGGUCUUCGGAUUGUAAAGCACUUUAAGUUGGGAGGCGUUACCAACAGAAUAAGCACCGGCUAACUUCGUGCCAGCAGCCGCGGUAAUAC
rnacentral:rRNA from 1 species